AUUGAACGCUGGCGGCAGGCCUAACACAUGCAAGUCGAACGGUAACAGGAAGCAGCUUGCUGCUUCGCUGACGAGUGGCGGACGGGUGAGUAAUGUCUGGGUAACUGCCUGAUGGAGGGGGAUAACUACUGGAAACGGUAGCUAAUACCGCAUAACGUCGCAAGACCAAAGAGGGGGACCUUAGGGCCUCUUGCCAUCGGAUGUGCCCAGAUGGGAUUAGCUAGUAGGUGGGGUAACGGCUCACCUAGGCGACGAUCCCUAGCUGGUCUGAGAGGAUGACCAGCCACACUGGAACUGAGACACGGUCCAGACUCCUACGGGAGGCAGCAGUGGGGAAUAUUGCACAAUGGGCGCAAGCCUGAUGCAGCCAUGCCGCGUGUAUGAAGAAGGCCUUCGGGUUGUAAAGUACUUUCAGCGGGGAGGAAGGGAGUAAAGUUAAUACCUUUGCUCAUUGACGUUACCCGCAGAAGAAGCACCGGCUAACUCCGUG
rnacentral:rRNA from 1 species